ACCAGACUCCUACGGGAGGCAGCAGUGAGGAAUAUUGGUCAAUGGGCUUACGCCUGAACCAGCCAAGUCGCGUGAGGGAAGACUGCCCUAUGGGUUGUAAACCUCUUUUGUCGGGGAGCAAAAGCCGGACGUGUCCGGCUGUGAGAGUACCCGAAGAAAAAGCAUCGGCUAACUCCGUGCCAGCAGCCGCGGUAAUACGGAGGACGCGAGCGUUAUCCGGAUUUAUUGGGUUUAAAGGGUGCGCAGGCGGAAUGUCAAGUCAGCGGUAAAAUUUCGGGGCUCAACCCCGUCGUGCCGUUGAAACUGCAUCCCUUGAGUGCGCGAGAAGUAUGCGGAAUGCGUGGUGUAGCGGUGAAAUGCAUAGAUAUCACGCAGAACUCCGAUUGCGAAGGCAGCAUACCGGCGCGCAACUGACGCUCAUGCACGAAAGCGUGGGUAUCGAACAGGAUUAGAUACCCCCGUACC
rnacentral:rRNA from 1 species